GUGAGUGUAGCUCAGUUGGUUAAGAGCGUCCCCCUGUGGAGGGGAAGGUCGGGAGUUCAAGUCUCCUCACUCACC
rnacentral:tRNA from 1 species